rnacentral:rRNA from 1 species
AGAGUUUGAUCAUGGCUCAGAUUGAACGCUGGCGGCAGGCCUAACACAUGCAAGUCGAGCGGUAGAGAGAAGCUUGCUUCUCUUGAGAGCGGCGGACGGGUGAGUAACGCGUGGGAAUCUACCUAGUAGUGGGGGACAACAGUUGGAAACGACUGCUAAUACCGCAUACGUCCUAAGGGAGAAAGCGGGGGAUCUUCGGGCCUUGCGCUAAUAGAUGAGCCUAUGUCGGAUUAGCUAGUUGGUGAGGUAAAGGCUCACCAAGGCGACGAUCUCUAGCUGGUCUGAGAGGAUGAUCAGUCACACUGGAACUGAGACACGGUCCAGACUCCUACGGGAGGCAGCAGUGGGGAAUAUUGCACAAUGGGCGCAAGCCUGAUGCAGCCAUGCCGCGUGUGUGAAGAAGGCCUUCGGGUUGUAAAGCACUUUCAGUAGGGAGGAAGGGCGGCAGUUUAAUACGCUGUUGCCGUGACGUUAACGUCAGAAGAAGCACCGGCUAACUCCGUGCCAGCAGCCGCGGUAAUACGGAGGGUGCGAGCGUUAAUCGGAAUUACUGGGCGUAAAGCGCAUGCAGGUGGUUUGUUAAGUCAGAUGUGAAAGCCCGAGGCUCAACCUCGGAAGGUCAUUUGAAACUGGCAAACUAGAGUACUGUAGAGGGGGGUAGAAUUUCAGGUGUAGCGGUGAAAUGCGUAGAGAUCUGAAGGAAUACCGGUGGCGAAGGCGGCCCCCUGGACAAAGACUGACGCUCAGAUGCGAAAGCGUGGGGAGCAAACAGGAUUAGAUACCCUGGUAGUCCACGCCGUAAACGAUGUCUACUUGGAGGUUGUGGCCUUGAGCCGUGGCUUUCGGAGCUAACGCGUUAAGUAGACCGCCUGGGGAGUACGGUCGCAAGAUUAAAACUCAAAUGAAUUGACGGGGGCCCGCACAAGCGGUGGAGCAUGUGGUUUAAUUCGAUGCAACGCGAAGAACCUUACCUACUCUUGACAUCUACAGAAUCCAGCGGAGACGCCGGAGUGCCUUCGGCAACUGUAAGACAGGUGCUGCAUGGCUGUCGUCAGCUCGUGUUGUGAAAUGUUGGGUUAAGUCCCGUAACGAGCGCAACCCUUGUCCUUAUUUGCCAGCACGUAAUGGUGGGAACUCUAAGGAGACUGCCGGUGACAAACCGGAGGAAGGUGGGGACGACGUCAAGUCAUCAUGGCCCUUACGAGUAGGGCUACACACGUGCUACAAUGGCCGGUACAGAGGGCUGCGAAGUCGCGAGGUGGAGCUAAUCCCAGAAAACUUUUCUAAGUUCGGAUUGGAGUCUGCAACUCGACUCCAUGAAGCUGGAAUCGCUAGUAAUCGUGGAUCAGAAUGCCACGGUGAAUACGUUCCCGGGCCUUGUACACACCGCCCGUCACACCAUGGGAGUGGGUUGCACCAGAAGUAGCUAGACUAACCUUCGGGAGGUCGGUUACCACGGUGUGAUUCAUGACUGGGGUGAAGUCGUAACAAGGUA